GUGCAGGCGGGUGGGGGAGCGUGGGGCCGCGGUAAACAAACAGGAGAAGCUUCGGCGGGGGCCGAGAUGUAGUAUAAACGUUAAUGGAUGUCCAGGGCGCGCCGAUGCACCGGCGGCUGGCCAGAGGUACUAGGGAGGCGCUGGCAGGAGCCCUGGCGAAGAUGCACCUUCCCCAGCCUGGAAAGAUUGCCAUUUCCUGGAGGACAGGGAAGGUAUAUUAUUUAGCUUUUCAUCCUCCGCAUCUAGCAUGAUGUCUGGCACACAGCAGAUAUUCAAGACACGUUCGUGGAGCUGAAAAAAACCAAACAAAUUAACCAUUAAUAUAAGAAAACUGAAUUGUCUCAGAGACUUCAGCUGGGAUUCCUAAAAAGCUAACAGCAUUAUAAGGUGGUUCUGCUGGAAAGCAAUAUAGCGACAUGUAACAAAAACUAUGAAAAUGUUCAUUCUCCUUCACUAGGUCUUUUCCCAUUUGUGAAUGCUCUCCAAAGAAAUAAUCCAAAGGGGUGAAAUGUACACAGAUGUUCCCGGCAACUCUAGUUAUAAUAGUGAAAAGAACUGGAAGCAAUCCAAGUGUCUAAUAGGGAAAUGACUAAGCAAACAAUGGGAUUAUUAUAUUGCUAUUAAAAAUGACGGAGGUGAGGACUGUGUCAACAUAGAGAAGUGUGUAUCUGCAGGAACGUUAAGUGGAAAAAAGAACACAAACCAGUGUUUAAACACCAGUGGUUAAAGAUGUGUGUGUACAUUAACAGAGAUCAGAGGCCACUUUGGAGAAAUGAAAAUGGCCGGGGUUCAGUGUUCACUGGGUCUUUUUUUCCUAUGCAGUUCCAUGAGCUUAUGACAAUAAUAGGCGAGAUGUCAUGCAACAUAGAUAUCCUGAAAGUCAUCUGCAGAAUAAGGCCUCUGUUACCUACUCAGUUGUGUAAUCCAAGAGAUAAUUUAAUGUUCAACUCGCAUCUAAUUAUUAUGAAAAUAACAACAUUUCUUUAAGAGGACAAAAUGCUUUUCUUUAGUUUAAUUCACCAAGCAAUUUUGAGAGCUUAACUAUGUGUUAGAGCACUUACAUUCUCAGGAAAUAUACAAAAAACAUGGGCAGAAAUCCUCAGGUGGAUAUUGUCAUUUUGACUUAACUUUUGUUUAUUUGGGUAAUUGUACAUUUUAGGGCCCAUUACAAAGGAAAGUCUGAAAGAUCUUUGACCUAAACCUCACGUUCACAAAUUGUCUCAAUUUUGUACUUUUGAUAUUGUCUCCAAAACGGGUUUUAUGUAUAGUCACUGAGAAAUACUGAUAAAGAUGAAAAGGAAAAAGUCAUCAUCAUAACUCUCAACUUGAGUCACAUUACCACUGUACUGCACUGUGAAUUAAUAUCUUAUAAAUCAUGCGAUUAUCCUGUGAAUAGCCAAAUAUUGACAUUGCAAAAUAUAUUACAUUG
rnacentral:lncRNA from 1 species